AUUAUACUUACAAAAGUCUCCGAAAAGUCCUUGGAGUUACGCAAUUUGGGGCCCGCAGACGCGCGUGGACACAAAAACACACGCUCCCGAGAUCCACCCUCCCCGGGCCACACUGUGGGGCUGCGUCCGGGGCACGGGCCAUGCCUGAACCUUCUUCCACCGCCGCGCCCCGGGCCCGCGCCCCGCCGGCCGCCCGCACUGGGUCCCGCGUCGCCCCCGCCACCACACCGAGCCGCCCAGUACCUCCUCCUCCUGAAGGCAGAGCUGGGGGUCCGUACGGAGGAACUUCAGAGGCUGGAAGCACGCUUGAAAAAGAAAGGGGGCCUGGGCUUUGCACCAGCUUCAGGAUUGCGUACUUGUUUCCUCAUCCGUGAAAUGGGAGCAGCUGAAUGUGUCUCCUCGAGUUUUCGAGGGGAACAAACAUGUAUCCUGGAUGAAAAUAAACCAACUCUUGAAACUGCAACCCAAGACAUUCAGAAGAGAUAAGGCUACAGUGAAUGUGGAAACUUUGCACGUGUUUGGAUGUAUUGAUUGCCUUAACUGGCAGCUCUUUGCACUGCCAGCUUCCCUCAAUUACAUGAGGAACCACGAGGGGGCAAUGUCUUCCCGAGCAAUAAUAGCUGAGUGGUGGUCUUAGGACCCCGUGGUGGCCCAUGAUGCUAGCACUGUGUCUUUGGCCAUUCUUGCCUGUCAUGGAGCAUACUCCACAGAAGGGCAUGGUCUUCUUGGAUCCCGGCAUGGGCCCAACAAAAAUGACAAUGUAGUCAAUAGUUCCACUCAGACCUCACUUAGGAGCAGGUGAACUAUGUUGUGUGAUAUCAGGAUGCCCGGAGAACCUCUCCUAUCCCCACCCAGGGAAGCAUGGCUUAAUUCCAAAUAAAGAAUCUGAUUUCUUUGUCUUUAAGCCAA
ensembl:lncRNA RBPMS-AS1 RBPMS antisense RNA 1